ensembl:lncRNA
AAGUGUCAGAUGUGUUCUGCGAGGUCCUGCAAACAUACUGGCAAAUUGAGGUAAGAAAAUCGCUAUCUUUAUUAUCUUUUGAAAAUAGUAAAGUAAGUUAUAUCGUUACGUUACCAGAGUUUACAAAUGGGUAGCUUAAAGGACAUGUAACCUGCAGAAGAUAAAUAAAUACCUGUGUGUGUAUUUUUGUAUUGCUUUAUCACAGAUGCUCAAGUUAGAUGCUCAUCUGAUGUUGUUGUGUUGCUGGUAAAUUAUGUGUUAAUGUCUGUCUUUUAGAGAUUUUUCCACAUUUUCCUGAUAUGAAUCCCAUGGAUUAGAGUCAUCAAGGAUCCAGCUUAUUAUUGAAACAUUGGACAGUACAGAAAGCACACAAGUGGGAGAGAACACAGUCCGGGGGGGUUCCCGUUAGAAAUGCCCCCCCCCCAAACCCCCCCCCCCCGGGGUCCCCCCUCUAACGCUGGUUCCUUGGAAUUGUCCUAACCUUCCCUGCCCUUACAGCGUCCCUGGUUGCCGGUUCCAUUCUCGAACUGUUCAACACAUUUUCACUGCACAAAUGUACACAUCUCUUGUAAUGAGACACAUUACUAAAACAUGUUUUUUACAGAAACUGUAGUUUUCCACCAAAAUAAAAGAUCAGCUGGUUUCAGUCAUAAAGGUACAAGGGUUUCUCUUGCAAGUGCCACACAAAAUAUGCAUUUAUAUGCAAAAAUAUGCCAAAUUAUUUUACAAAAACCUUUCAAUAUUAUUGUAUUUGAAUUGUUCUUCUACGUGUUUUUAACAAUACAUCCAUGCAUACUCUGCAAAAUAAAGUUUGGG